AUGUCUGGCCUUGGUGGACUCGGGAGCGUCGGCGGGGGCAGCAACGGCAGAAGCCAUGGCUCGGGGGGCAAGGCCAAGCUGCUCGCGCUCGGCAAGGGUCUCCCUGAGCAAGUUCUACCCCAGGAGAAGCUCGUCGAGACCUACCUCCAGGACACCAGCUGCGACGAUCCCGCCACCAGGGCCAAGCUCGAGCGCCUCUGCAAGACCACAACAGUGAGGACAAGGUACACUGUCAUGUCGAAGGAGCUCCUGGAUGAACACCCAGAAUUGAAGACAGAAGGCACUCCAACAUUGACACCACGGCUUGACAUCUGCAAUGCCGCGGUGCUUGAACUUGGUGCUGCUGCAGCUCGUGCCGCCCUUGGUGAGUGGGGCCGUCCAGCAGCUGAUAUUACCCACCUGGUCUACAUCUCCUCCAGCGAGCUUCGCCUCCCGGGGGGUGAUCUUUUCCUGGCAACCCGCCUUGGCCUCUCUCCAAACACAGUGCGCACAUCCCUUCUCUUCCUUGGCUGCUCAGGUGGUGCUGCCGCCCUCCGCACUGCCAAGGACAUUGCAGAGAACAACCCAGGGAGCCGUGUCCUUGUAAUAGCGGCGGAGACAACUGUGUUGGGCUUCCGGCCGCCAAGCCCUGAUCGUCCUUAUGACCUUGUUGGUGCUGCUCUGUUUGGUGAUGGUGCAUCAGCUGCAAUUAUUGGAGCAAGCCCUAUCAAAGCAGAAGAGGAUCCUUUCUUGGAGCUUGAGUUCUCAACCCAGGAGUUCCUACCAGGGACAGACAAGGUAAUUGAUGGCAAGAUCUCAGAGGAAGGGAUUAACUUCAAACUGGGGCGUGAUUUGCCUGAAAAGAUUGAAAGCCGCAUAGAAGGCUUCUGCAGGAUACUCAUGGACAAGGUUGGGAUAAAGGAAUUCAAUGAUGUAUUUUGGGCUGUGCAUCCUGGUGGACCAGCAAUAUUGAACAGGCUGGAGGUUUGUCUUGAACUUGAGCCAGGUAAACUCAAGAUCAGUAGAAAGGCCCUGAUGAACUAUGGGAAUGUGAGCAGCAACACAGUCUUCUAUGUGCUGGAGUAUUUGAGGGAUGAAUUGAAGAAAGGGGCAAUAAGGGAAGAGUGGGGAUUGAUCUUGGCUUUUGGCCCAGGCAUCACAUUUGAAGGAAUGCUAGUUCGGGGCACUAACUGA
rnacentral:rRNA from 1 species